UGAACCAGAACCUAUUUACCAUUCAUAUAGACACGGAAAUGGUUUAACGGAAGGAGGAUGGUUCAAUUAUACAUGUUACCAAGGUUACACUUUAGUCCAGGGAGAUUUAAACAGAGAAUGUCAAGCUGGUAUUUUUACAGGCGAUGUGCCUCUUUGUUCCGAGAAUUUGGCACUAUAUGGCGUAUUUGUAGCUGUUCCAUCAGACCCAAAUAGUAUACCAAUGCAUAUAGUUGAUGGAGACAACACAACCUGUUCACAAAGCGCCGCUGACAGUAAUCCAACCUGGCAAAUUACUCUAACUAAAAAUAAAACCGUGCAUCGAAUAAUACUCAGUUGGCCAGAUGGAUCAAAUAACCUAUUAAAUUCUAUAUCAGUUACCAUAACAGAUGGGAGUGAUGUUUAUAAUUGUGGUACAGCUACUUUCACUUCUCCACCAACUAACUCUCUUAUUAUUGAUUGUCAUAAAUUUUACACCGGGGAGGUAAUCAGCAUUGUUGGUGACCCCAUUCUCCUCCCCUCGUCUCUAGAAUUGUGUGAAGUUAGAAUUUAUGGAAGCGAUUUUAAACAUCUCUGUGGUAAUCCACCGUUUGUGUAUGGCGGUGAAUUUGUAGAACAGUUGACACCAGAUACUGUAUUGUAUUCCUGUGUUCAGGGGUUUUACUAUGGUGGAUUAAACCGAACAUCAACUUGUCAACCUAAUGGGACAUGGACAGAUG